CGGGGUGCAGCAGGCGCGAAAACUUUACAAUGCUGGCAACAGCGAUAAGGGGACCUCGAGUGCCAGGAUACAAUCUUGGCUGUCGCGAUGCCUAAAAAGCAUUGCAUAGCAAGGGCCGGGCAAGACCGGUGCCAGCCGCCGCGGUAACACCGGCGGCUCGAGUGGUAACCGCUAUUAUUGGGUCUAAAGGGUCUGUAGCCGGCCGGAUAAGUCUUUUGGGAAAUCCAGCUGCUCAACAGUUGGGCUUUCAGAAGAUACUGUUCGGCUCGAGACCGGGAGAGGUGAGAGGCACUUCAGGGGUAGGGGUGAAAUCUUGUAAUCCUUGAAGGACCACCAGUGGCGAAGGCGUCUCACCAGAACGGAUCUGACGGCAAGGGACGAAAGCUAGGGGCACGAACCGGAUUAGAUACCCGGGUAGUCCUAGCCGUAAACGAUACUCGCUAGGUGUCAGCCACGGUGCGACCGUGGUUGGUGCCGUAGGGAAGCCGUGAAGCGAGCCACCUGGGAAGUACGGCCGCAAGGCUGAAACUUAAAGGAAUUGGCGGGGGAGCAC
rnacentral:rRNA from 1 species